CACUGACGCCUUAUUGGGCGUUUCCUCCCUAGACUCGGGCCGCCGGAGCAAUCCUGGCGGCCUUUUUCUUUGCGCGG
rfam:Azospirillum brasilense Sp245 plasmid AZOBR_p2 complete genome